UUUUGGACAAUGGGCGAAAGCCUGAUCCAGCAAUGCCGCGUGUGGGAAGAAGGCCUUCGGGUUGUAAACCACUUUUGUACGGAACGAAACGGUCUGCUUUAAUACAGUGGGCUAAUGACGGUACCGUAAGAAUAAGCACCGGCUAACUACGUGCCAGCAGCCGCGGUAAUACGUAGGGUGCGAGCGUUAAUCGGAAUUACUGGGCGUAAAGCGUGCGCAGGCGGUUAUAUAAGACAGUUGUGAAAUCCCCGGGCUCAACCUGGGAAUUGCAUCUGUGACUGUAUAGCUAGAGUACGGUAGAGGGGGAUGGAAUUCCGCGUGUAGCAGUGAAAUGCGUAGAUAUGCGGAGGAACACCGAUGGCGAAGGCAAUCCCCUGGACCUUACUGACGCUCAUCACGGAG
rnacentral:rRNA from 1 species